GUCCCACUGGUGGGGACUGGUGCCCGGGAGAUUCUGGGUCUGCGUGCCAUUCUCGGGCAGUGGAGAGAUUUCCCAUCAGGAAAAUGGGCUUUGCACACAGCUGAGAAACCUCUCCCCAGGGGCAAUCCAGAAAGAGCUUUUUGUUCAAUCUUCCAUUAAAGAGAAAUUUCAAUUGCCUUGACCAGCCAGAGCAUUCCAGCUGACCAGGCUUGACUUGCUUACCCAAAACCCAAACUCGCAGAGCAGGGAAGGGAAAGGCGACUGUUCAGCAAGUUCUGGGAAGCCCCCUCAGGGUCCCUGUGGUUGACGACAUAAAAAGCCCAUUGUAACUCUUCAAGAGGCUGAUGUUUGGCUCGAGCGUACGAGCAAUGUCCUAGAUAUAGGCUUCUGAUCAGCCUGGGUCCUGGCGGGGAGAUGACACCGAGCAGAGCCACCAUUGAGCUGCACUGGAUAAUGUAGUAUGAGUGAGAAAUAAAUCCUUGCUGUUGAAAGCUAUUGAGAUGUUGGGGUCAUUUGUCACGGCGGCAUAAGUGAUCCUAUCCUAACUGAUACAUCACUCUCUCUCUAUCACAACACGGAUUUCCAG
rnacentral:lncRNA from 10 species